GCAGAGUUACAGCUAAACCCUCACAGGAGGAGACAAAUCCAACCUGAAAAUUACCCAAAUGUCUACUUCUCAUUUAUUGAGGCCAGGUAUGAUACAUUAGAUCCUCACUGUUUCUGUCUCCAUCAGUGAGGACGGUGUGACAAAGUGAAGUCAGUUUCUAAAUAGUAAAUGGACUGAACUUAUAUAGCGCCUUUCCAGUCAUACUGAUCACUCUAAGCGCUUUACACUAGAGCCACAUUCACUCAGACACGCUCACUAGCGCUCACACAUUCAUACACUGAUGCGCAGAUCGGUAGGUUAAGUGCCUUGCCCAGGGGCAGAAGGAAGCUGGAAUCAAACCCACAACCUUAUGGAUUGCAAGACAACUCUUACCACUGAGCCACAGACGCCUCCAGCAUUCUACCAACAUUGAUUAAUUACUUGAUGAUUCCAAGCUGUGAUCAGUGAGCUGAUGGCCUCCAUCUCCUUAUUUUAUCCACAUCACUGGAAAGACAUUUUCCUGCUUUUAGAAAGAAAGCAUCAAUAAAAUAUUCCAAGUCAACAUCAGGAAAUAUCAAAUACAUUUUCUAAAAGUUGUUGGAAACAAAUGAGUCAGUACCAGGGCUGCAGCAGAACCUGUUUCCAUAGUGGACCAUCUCAGAACAGAGGUUCUCACAGCAGGGCUGGACUGGGACAGAACAUUGGUCCAGGUGGUCCACCAUGACUGGUCAGAUGUGAUCUCCAAGAGAUGAUCCUCAAUAUCGAGUGUAAAGGAGACACAGUGAAGCAGCCAGAAGGAGAUGUUGUUGCUGCUGAAGGAGAAACACGGACUCUGGAAUGUACUUAUGAGAGCAGUCUAAGUGUCACAUUGUUCUGGUACAAGCAAGAAGGAAACAGUUCUCCAAAGUACAUGCUGAAACAGCUGUCAUCAUCCAAAUAUAAAGCUUCAGAUUUCAACAUUAGCAGAUUUGACGCCGACCUCAACAGUAACAAGAAAUCAUUUCAUCUGAAGAUCCAGGAUCUCCAUCUGUCGGACUCUGCUGUGUACUACUGUGCUCUGCAGCCCACAGUGACAGGAAACACCAGAACUCUGAACAAGAACCUGCAGAGUGAAACCAGGACAAUAUUCUACAACCUCCACUAGAGGGCCUCAUGAAUCAGGCUGCAGGAUGAUGAGGUGCAGCUGCUGGAACCAAACUUUAAUCCACUCUGUGAGGCAGCAGCACCUUCACUUGGUGCCUCUACAACAGUUCAAAGUGGGAGAAGUCAGUGGAAACCAGUGGAUCCUCCAGUUAGGAUGAUCAGAGUUAGGAUACCCACUGGUCCCACCAGCAACUAUGCUGGAGAUAAACCUCCAUGUAUUUAGGAGUCUGGUUAUAUCUCACCAUCAGUCUGUCCAUUGUGGCUGAUAAGGUCUUAACUCCACUGAUCCACCUGCUGCAAUAAUUGAUACUAAUGAUCCCACAGCCUGAAGGGUUCUUUACUCUUCCUGCUCUAGAACAACCUGCAGGGAACAUCUGGGAAUGUGUUGGGUCUAAAAUGACUUGAGGAGCUUCAUUAUGAAGAGACCCAAAGUGUCUGGGCCUCUUCUAACCUCUGUUCCUGUGAAUCUGCUGCUGUUACUGACAGAAGAAACUGAUAAAUAUAUUUAUUUUAUUAAAAGCUUUGUAAUCCAGCAAAGAUACUGAUUGACCCAAAGCUUCAAAUCUGUCCAUUUUCUGGUAAAAUAACAUGUUUCUGAUUAGCGUCUCUGACCUUGGUGAGCUCUGCAUCUUGUCCAAUCAGGUCUAUAAACCUGGCUGUCAUCAGCAUAUAAUGAAAGGUACAUUUGUGCGUUCCAAACUUGGAGGCCAAGAGAAGCAGAUGCAAUGAAAAAAGCAGAGGCCCAAGAACUGACCCCAUAGAAGACGUGGACUGAGGAAGAUUUAAAGUUUCCCAGGCUGACACAGGAUGUCCUUUCUGUCAAGCAGGAACUGAAUCACUCAAGAGCAGUCCCUCUAAUGCAUAUAAAAUGCUCUAAAGCAGAUAAUACAUUGCUGUCAUCUACAGUAUCAAAUGCAGCUGUUAAGUCCAACAAAACAAGGAAUACACAAUUUCUUGAGUCUGUAGCUAAAAGAAUAUCAU